rnacentral:rRNA from 1 species
CCUACGGGAGGCUGCAGUGAGGAAUAUUGGUCAAUGGACGGAAGUCUGAACCAGCCAUGCCGCGUGCAGGAUGACGGCUCUAUGAGUUGUAAACUGCUUUUGUACGAGAAUAAUAGUUCUUACGUGUAGGGAUUUGAAUGUAUCGUACGCAUAAGGAUCGGCUAACUCCGUGCCAGCAGCCGCGGUAAUACGGAGGAUUCGAGCGUUAUCCGGAUUUAUUGGGUUUAAAGGGUGCGUAGGCGGACUGGAAAGUCAGCGGUAAAAUCGAGAGGCUCAACCUCUUUCCGCCGUUGAAACUGGCGGUCUUGAGUGGGCGAGAAGUAUGCGGAAUGCGUGGUGUAGCGGUGAAAUGCAUAGAUAUCACGCAGAACUCCGAUUGCGAAGGCAGCAUACCGGCGCCCGACUGACGCUGAGGCACGAAAGCGUGGGUAUCGAACAGGAUUAGAUACCCCAGUAGUC